CAACAACAAAACAUACAAUCUUAACAAUGGCCAAACAUGUGUUCACCUUUAAGUAUGUCCCAUGUGUUUGUUACUUUAUUCAAAAACUAAGCAGUUCAUAGUCUCUAGGAGUAGAGCUGUCAAAUGGUCCGUCCAUGGCCCAAUUGGGCAUGACCAUUUGGACCAUUUCAGUUUUGGACAGUAAUGGGUGGUCCAUAUUGGACAAUGGUCCAACAAAUGUCCAAGACCAAUAGAGACCAUGUCCAAAUGGGCAUGCCCAUGGACACCCAAUAAUAUUUAUAAUUAUUUUUUUAAUUAUUAGUUUAAAUUUUAUUUCUAAAAUUUUGAAAUUAUGUUUACUUUCUAAUAUUAUAAAAGUAAUUUUUUUUUGUCGAAACUGUAAAACUAUGUUUUCCUCUCAAAAUCGAAAAAAAUUCAUUUUUUCGCAAAAACCGAGAAAUCUCGUUUUUCCGCCAAAACCGAAUUUUUUUAUUUUUCGCCAAAACCGAGAAAUUACGUUUUCUCGCAAAAACCGAGAAAUUAUGUUUUCCGUCAAAACCGAGAAAUUGGGUUUUCCCGCCAAAACCGAGAAAUUGCGUUUUCCCGCCAAAAUCGAGAAAUUACGUUUUUCCGCCAAAACCGAGAAAUUAUAUUUUUCCGCCAAAACCGAGAAAUUAUGUUUUCCGUCAAAACCGAGAAAUUGGGUUUUCCCGCCAAAACCGAGAAAUUGCGUUUUCCCGCCAAAACCGAGAAAUUGCGUUUUCCCGCCAAAACCGAGAAAUUGUGUUUUCCCGCCAAAACCGAGAAAUUGUAUUUUCCCGUCAAAAUCUGAGAAAUUGUGUUUUCCCGCCAAAACCGAGAAAUUAUGUUUUCCCGCUAAAACCGAAAAAUUGAAUUUUUCCGCUAAAACCGAGAAAUUAUGUUUUCCCGCCAAAAUCUGAGAAAUUGCGUUUUCCUGCCAAAACCGAGAAAUUGUGUUUUUCCGCCAAAACUGAAAAAUUAAAUUUUCCCGCUGUUUUAUGAAAUUCAUUUUUCCGUCAAAAUUGUAAAAUUACGUUUUCCGUCAAAAUCGUUAAUUUUUUAUUUUAACGAUAAAACUGUUUUUUUUUGGGUUAAAUUGUAAAGUUAUGUUUUCUUUUAUUAAACUCAUGAAAUUAUGUUUUAUGAAGCCCAUGGACACCCAUUGUCCAUUUGGUCUUCGUCCAAUUGGACCAUAUAUCAAUUGGUCUUUUGUUCAGUUGGACCAUUUAUUAAUUGGGCACGUCCAUAGCCCACCCAAAAUGAAUUGGACUGGGCUAGCCCAUGGUCAGCCCGCCCAGUUGACACCUAUAUCUAGGAGGAGACGUCUGUGUGUGUGUGUAGUAGUAGUUUUGUUGAAAUGAUGUUGUAGAGAGAAGAAAGGAACCUUUAUAGUUAAGAACAUUUUUCCACCG
rnacentral:lncRNA from 1 species